CUGCCUCGCAGCACACUGGUAUGCUGUGGAACACACUUUAAAAAACGCUGGUCUAAAAGGUCAUUUUUGAGAAAUCUCCUGUCUUUGCAUGCAGGUGGAGCUGCACUGCAGGUACAAACAGUGGGUGUGCUUGUGUAGGCACAUUGUUGACAUUUUCACAACUGCGUCAUUGAUCAGAGCUUAAACUGUGACCUGGCUUACCUUUGAACGUUGGCCUUCCAACCACACUACCAUCUCUGCUGCUUUCCAGAACUCUGGCCACAUGCAGACUUUAUACAGAAGCCUUUCCUUGUGCAACUUAUGGUAUAGUCUAAAUGGUGACCAAGAAAUAAAAGCCUUUAUCCUAUUUCUAGUCCCAUUGCUGAAGCGCUCUGUGAAAACACAUCAUGAAUAUUAAUAGUCGUCAUUGCAAGGGACUGCAUUGUAUGAACAUAUCUAGGAAACAUUGCUUCAGCUUUGCAGA